rnacentral:rRNA from 1 species
AACGAACGCUGGCGGCAUGCCUAACACAUGCAAGUCGAACGAUUGCCUUCGGGUGAUAGUGGCGCACGGGUGCGUAACGCGUGGGAAUCUGCCCUUAGGUUCGGAAUAACAGCUGGAAACGGCUGCUAAUGCCGGAUGAUAUCGCGAGAUCAAAGAUUUAUCGCCUGAGGAUGAGCCCGCGUUGGAUUAGGUAGUUGGUGGGGUAAAGGCCUACCAAGCCGACGAUCCAUAGCUGGUCUGAGAGGAUGAUCAGCCACACUGGGACUGAGACGCGGCCCAGACUCCUACGGGAGGCAGCAGUGGGGAAUAUUGGACAAUGGGCGCAAGCCUGAUCCAGCAAUGCCGCGUGAGUGAUGAAGGCCCUAGGGUUGUAAAGCUCUUUUACCCGGGAAGAUAAUGACUGUACCGGGAGAAUAAGCCCCGGCUAACUCCGUG